AUUUUUUUCUUCAAUUAUUUAUAACAAAUAAAAUAUCACAUAUUCUCAAAUAAAUUCACACAGUCCCCAAUUUUCAUAAAUCAUAAACCUCAGCAGUGUCAUAACUCAUAAACAUUAAUUAUAACGCAUAAAUUAUAAGUCAGAAAAUGAACUAAAAGAACGGGAAAAAAAGAAAAGAAAAAAGAAGAGAAGAGAGGCAGAGGCGGAGGCUCGAGAGUCACGGAUGGAGACGGAGUCAGGCUCGACGUCGGCGGCGACUUGAAAGCAGCCUAGCAGGUCACACCGUUACAGAGUCAGUGAACUCACAUAGCAGGGGCUAAGGGAGGGAGGUUUUGCUGUCUGUUCGGAGUUGGUUGGUAAUUGAUUUUAGGAAAUUUCUAUAUGUUCAUAACCUUUGCCAGAAUUUUUUACAGACGGCUGAUCUUGCAAUAAUUUGAAUUCAAAAAAAUGUCACUUGGUCAAAAUGUCAUCUGACACUUCUUUGGCAAUUAUCAAUUUUAAAAGAUAUUGGGCGAAAACAUAUUCACUCACGCACACUGCACACAAGACUUGUCACUCUCUCCCCUCCAUCUCUCUGUAAUAACUCUCUGACUAACCGAUGAACAUGUCCUCCAGAUCGCCGGUGUAGAUGCCGAACGAACAAAUCUAGGAGAACGGGGAAGAAGACGGCAUCACAAAUUUGGCCAACGACGUUUUUUCUCUCUCUAUCCUGCACUAAUAUAGUCUACGCGAUGAUGUCCUUCAAGUGGCCGGUGAAGAUCGCGAACGAGCAAAUCUAGGAGAACGGGAAAGACGAUGGCGUCAGAAAUUUGGUCGACGUAGUUGCAGAAUCCAGGUUAAGAACUUCGAAUCUGAAUUCGAUUUUUAUUUUAGUUUUACUAUUUAAGGUUUAGGCCAAUACAGUGACCUGAAUGUAGAUCUAUUGAAAUAUGUUGUGUUUGCACAAUCUGAGAAAUUGGAUUUUCUGUGCCCAAUUCUCCUUCUAGAAAUUGAAGAAUAUAUUUCAAUGUUGUGUCUGCACAAUCUACGUAUGUGAGUCUGAUUUACAGUUAACUGAUGGGCUUGUUAUGUGAAGUCAGAUUUACAGUUAAAUUGAUGGGGUUGUUGAUGGUGAAAUGCAUGCGUUGAGAAAGAUAUCUUGUUUUUUUUUUCCCAUGUCAUUACAGUUUAGCUUGUAGAGUGGAAAAAUUGCAACGUUAUUCAUCCUGUCAAUUUAUGAUGAACCAGUAGUUUUUUGUGCAUGAAUCAAUAUUGUUGAUUGUUGGGAAGAACAGAGGAAUUUGUCAUUCUUGUCGGGGGGCAGGACACAUGAUGUCGGAAUGCCCCAAAAAGAAGAGAUGCCCAAAUUGUGGAUAUGGGUUCGUUAGAUGGUUGGAGGUAGAAAAAAAUUCCAAGAAUCAAGGGAAGUUGUUCCAUUCCUGUAUUCACGACUGUGAGUUCUUCAAGUUUUGUAACGUUUCGCCUGAUGAAGAGUAUCCAUUGUAAGGCGAAUCAAGUGGCACAACCAAAGGAAGUGAACCGGUCAAUGAGUUAUCCCGGAUGUUGAAAGUAUGUGAAAAAAUAACCGAGGAGCGAGAUGUGGAGAUUUCACUUAACAUAACCAUGUGUAAGGGGAAAUGUGUUUCAGAUGAUUUAAUUUGAAAUCUAUGUAAUUGGAUGAUUUCAACUUCUUUAGCUUUAAGUUUGUUUUACAUGUAUUUGGAUGAUUUUGACUUCGUUGGCUUUAAGUUUGAUUUACCUGUAUUUGGAUGACUUCGACUUCAACAUCUAAUUGCCGCUUAUUGAUCCCAUAUCUAUUGGCUUUGAAUUGGUUAGUGACAGUUGUUGUCUCUUGCAUAUAUUCCAAGGAAGCAAAGUUGUUG
rnacentral:lncRNA from 1 species